UACGUAGGUGGCGAGCGUUGUCCGGAUUCAUUGGGCGUAAAGCGCGCGCAGGUGGUGCGGUAAGUCUGUCGUGAAAUCUCCCGGCUCAACUGGGAGGGUGCGGUGGAGACUGCCGGACUGGAGGCACUCAGAGGCCGGUGGAAUUCCCGGUGUAGUGGUGAAAUGCGUAGAGAUCGGGAGGAACACCAGUGGCGAAGGCGGCCGGCUGGGGGUGACCUGACGCUGAGGCGCGAAAGCGUGGGGAGCGAACAGG
rnacentral:rRNA from 1 species